rnacentral:rRNA from 1 species
GAUGAACGCUGGCGGCGUGCUUAACACAUGCAAGUCGAACGAUGAAGCCGGAGCUUGCUCCGGUGGAUUAGUGGCGAACGGGUGAGUAACACGUGGGUAACCUGCCCAUAAGACUGGGAUAACUCCGGGAAACCGGGGCUAAUACCGGAUAACAUUUUGAACCGCAUGGUUCGAAAUUGAAAGGCGGCUUCGGCUGUCACUUAUGGAUGGACCCGCGUCGCAUUAGCUAGUUGGUGAGGUAACGGCUCACCAAGGCAACGAUGCGUAGCCGACCUGAGAGGGUGAUCGGCCACACUGGGACUGAGACACGGCCCAGACUCCUACGGGAGGCAGCAGUAGGGAAUCUUCCGCAAUGGACGAAAGUCUGACGGAGCAACGCCGCGUGAGUGAUGAAGGCUUUCGGGUCGUAAAACUCUGUUGUUAGGGAAGAACAAGUGCUAGUUGAAUAAGCUGGCACCUUGACGGUACCUAACCAGAAAGCCACGGCUAACUACGUGCCAGCAGCCGCCGUAA